rnacentral:rRNA from 1 species
UGGGGAAUAUUGCACAAUGGGCGAAAGCCUGAUGCAGCGACGCCGCGUGAGGGAUGACGGCCUUCGGGUUGUAAACCUCUUUCAGCAGGGACGAAGCGCAAGUGACGGUACCUGCAGAAGAAGCACCGGCUAACUACGUGCCAGCAGCCGCGGUAAUACGUAGGGUGCAAGCGUUGUCCGGAAUUACUGGGCGUAAAGAGUUCGUAGGCGGUUUGUCGCGUCGUUUGUGAAAACCAGCAGCUCAACUGCUGGCUUGCAGGCGAUACGGGCAGACUUGAGUACUGCAGGGGAGACUGGAAUUACUGGUGUGGCGGUGAAAUGCGCAGAUAUCAGGAGGAACACCGGUGGCGAAGGAGGGUCUCUGGGCAGUAACUGACGCUGAGGAACGAAAGCGUGGGUAGCGAACAGG